GACCUCUUGGCUCAGUGGUAGAGCAUCUGAUUCCAGAAAUACACCGGCUUCCAGAAGGUCGUCCGUUCGAUCCGGGCAGAGGUCA